CGGGCAUGACAUAAAACAGUGAAUCAAAGAAUUCAACUUUAUUUAUAACUAACAUAGGACAAUGCUGUUGAUUAAAAAAUACCCCAGUCUAGGACCUUUUGUUAUCCAAAUAAUUAAUAUUACCAAUAAUUGAUAAGUUCCAGUUCGACGGGAUCAAACAGAAAGAUUUGAAAGAAGAGAAAACUGUGUAUCUUAUAAUCGGCAUGACUUUAUCAGAUAAAAAAUAAUACUAAAAUAAGGCUUGCGCAUAGUUAUAUACUUUAAUUCAGUCACGGACCCGCGA
rnacentral:lncRNA from 1 species